AAUGACGGUAAUAUAUGAAUAAGCGCCGGCUAACUCCGUGCCAGCAGCCGCGGUAAUACGGAGGGCGCAAGCGUUACUCGGAAUCACUGGGCGUAAAGAGCGUGUAGGCGGAUAGAUAAGUCAGAAGUGAAAUCCUAUGGCUCAACCAUAGAACUGCUUUUGAAACUGUUUAUCUAGAGUGUGGGAGAGGUAGAUGGAAUUUCUGGUGUAGGGGUAAAAUCCGUAGAG
rnacentral:rRNA from 1 species